GAUGAACGCUGGCGGCGUGCCUAAUACAUGCAAGUCGAGCGAACGGACGAGAAGCUUGCUUUUCUGAUGUUAGCGGCGGACGGGUGAGUAACACGUGGAUAACCUACCUAUAAGACUGGGAUAACUUCGGGAAACCGGAGCUAAUACCGGAUAAUAUUUUGAACCGCAUGGUUCAAAAGUGAAAGACGGUCUUGCUGUCACUUAUAGAUGGAUCCGCGCUGCAUUAGCUAGUUGGUAAGGUAACGGCUUACCAAGGUAACGAUGCAUAGCCGACCUGAGAGGGUGAUCGGCCACACUGGAACUGAGACACGGUCCAGACUCCUACGGGAGGCAGCAGUAGGGAAUCUUCCGCAAUGGGCGAAAGCCUGACGGAGCAACGCCGCGUGAGUGAUGAAGGUCUUCGGAUCGUAAAACUCUGUUAUUAGGGAAGAACAUAUGUGUAAGUAACUGUGCACAUCUUGACGGUACCUAAUCAGAAAGCCACGGCUAACCACGUG
rnacentral:rRNA from 1 species